rnacentral:rRNA from 1 species
AGAGUUUGAUCAUGGCUCAGAUUGAACGCUGGCGGCAUGCUUUACACAUGCAAGUCGAACGGGGUGAGGGGGCAACCUCUCAUUCAGUGGCGAACGGGUGAGUAAUGCAUCGGAACGUGUCCCGUAGUGGGGGAUAACGCCGCGAAAGCGGCGCUAAUACCGCAUACGCUCUACGGAGGAAAGCAGGGGAUCGCAAGACCUUGUGCUAGGGGAGCGGCCGAUGUCCGAUUAGCUAGUUGGUGGGGUAAUGGCCUACCAAGGCAACGAUCGGUAGCUGGUCUGAGAGGAUGAUCAGCCACACUGGGACUGAGAUACGGCCCAGACUCCUACGGGAGGCAGCAGCAGGGAAUCUUGCGCAAUGGGCGAAAGCCUGACGCAGCAACGCCGCGUGAGGGAUGAAUGCCUUCGGGUUGUAAACCUCUUUCGAGCAGGGACGAUAAUGACGGUACCUGCAGAAGAAGCUCCGGCCAACUACGUGCCAGCCGCCGCGGUAAUAC